rnacentral:rRNA from 1 species
UGAGUACGAGAUGCUACGGCAUCGAAGCAGUCUAUGUCAUACUUCCAAGAAAAGCUCGCACUGUCAUAAACAAAUAAUGCCUGUACCAUAACCGACACAGGUGGGUAGGUAGAGUAUACUAAGGGGCGCGAGAUAACUCUCUCUAAGGAACUCGGCAAAAUGACUCCGUAACUUCGGGAGAAGGAGUGCCUUAUUUAUAAGGUUGCAAUAACAAGAUCCAAGCAACUGUUUAUCAAAAACACAGGUCUCCGCUAAGUCGUAAGACGAUGUAUGGGGGCUGACGCCUGCCCAGUGCCAGAAGGUUAAAGAAGUUGGUUAGCAUUAGCGAAGCUGAUAACUGAAGCCCUGGUGAACGGCGGCCGUAACGAUAACGGUCCUAAGGUAGCGAAAUUCCUUGUCGGGUAAGUUCCGACCCGCACGAAAGGCGUAAUGAUUUGGAUACUGUCUCGGAGAGGGGCUCGGUGAAAUAGACUUGUCUGUGAAGAUGCGGACUACCUGCACCAGGACAGAAAGACCCUAUGAAGCUUUACUGUAACUUGAAAUUGAAAUUGGACUUUAUUUGCGCAGCAUAGGUGGGAGGCGUUGAAAAUAUUCUCGCGGGAAUAUUAGAGCCAUCAGUGAGAUACCACUCUUGUAAUGUUAGAUUUCUAACUUUGUAUCAUUAUCUGGUCAAAGAACAGUUUCAGGCGGGCAGUUUGACUGGGGCGGUCGCCUCCUAAACGGUAACGGAGGCGCACAAAGGUUUCCUCUGAACGGGUAGAAAUCGUAUCUAGAGUGUAAAGGCAUAAGGAAGCUUGACUGUGAGACCUACAAGUCGAGCAGGGACGAAAGUCGGUCUUAGUGAUCUGACGGUGCUGAGUGGAAAGGCCGUCACUCAACGGAUAAAAGUUACUCUAGGAUAACAGGCUGAUCUCCCCCAAGAGUUCACAUCGACGGGGAGGUUUGGCACCUCGAUGUCGGCUCAUCGCAUCCUGGGGCGGUAGUACGUCCCAAGGGUUGGGCUGUUCGCCCAUGAAAGCGGUACGCGAGCUGGGUUCAGAACGUCGUGAGACAGUUCGGUCCAUAUCCGGUGUAGGCGUUAGAAUAUUGAGAGGAGCCUUCAUUAGUACGAGAGGACCGAGAAGGACAUACCUCUGGUGUACCAGUUAUCGUGCCAACGGUAAACGCUGGGUAGCUAUGUAUGGAGAGGAUAACCGCUGAAAGCAUCUAAGUGGGAAGCCCACCUCAAGAUAAGUAUUCUCGU